rnacentral:lncRNA from 1 species
UGAUUGAUGUGUACAAGAAAACCAUCAAAUCUGAUGGCAUUGCGGGGCUUUAUCGUGGAUUCAACAUCUCAUGUGUUGGAAUUAUAGUGUACCGUGGGCUCUAUUUUGGAAUGUAUGAUUCACUGAAACCUGUGGUCCUGGUUGGUGAGAUGCAGGUAUGUGAAAUUAUGGGGACCAGAACCCUUAGAUCAUAUCACAUCCCUUCCCAGAGGACCCGCCCUCAUUUGUUCUAUAUUCGUUAUCUUUGCUUUACAGUUCUGUUUACUAUGAGAAGAAAAAUGUGGAACUUGCAUAAUAUUGCAUUAUAUUGGUCUUUGUUAUUCGGUCUAUCUCAGCCAGUUGGACUAUUUAAAGCAUCAAGUGAACCAAUAUUAUUAGAAUUGGCCACUGAACCAGAAAUAUCUGAAUUUAUUUCUUCUGCAUGAACUAGAAAAUCUGGUUUUUAUGUAUUGCAUGGUAUAAUCGUUAUUUUCUAGGCAGGCUAUUCAUUACUGUCAAGACUGUAUUUGGUGUAUGCAGGAUAGUUUCUUGGCUAGUUUCUUGCUGGGAUGGGGAAUCACAAUUGGUGCAGGAUUGGCUUCUUACCCAAUUGAUACAGUGCGUAGAAGGAUGAUGAUGACCUCAGGAGAAGCUGUCAAAUACAAGAGCUCUUUCGAUGCAUUCUCACAGAUCCUGAAGAAUGAAGGUGCUAAAUCACUCUUUAAAGGCGCCGGUGCAAACAUCCUGCGUGCUGUUGCAGGUGCUGGUGUGCUUGCUGGUUAUGAUAAGUUGCAGCUCCUUGUACUUGGCAAGAAAUAUGGAUCCGGUGGUGGCGGCUAAGGUGACUACAGUUGUUGGUUAUGGUUGAUGAUGACGAUGGAGUGUGAUGAAUGUUUAGGUUCUCUUUCCUUUCAAGUCUCAAUAAUUUUGGUGGAACACACAGAGUCUCUUAUAUUUUCCCGGUACUGGCGAAUUGAUAUUAGCAUUUAUAGUUCCAAAACUCCUAUUUCAAUUUUUAACUGUUAUCUGUGCUUGAACUUGAAGGUGUUGUUGAUCUUAAUGGUUCUUUUGGUGAGAGAAUAGUUAAAGGAGUUUACCC